GGUUUCAUAGCUCAGAUGGUUAGAGCGCCGCUCUGAUAAAGCGGAGGUCGCUGGUUCAAGUCCAGCUGAGACCA
rnacentral:tRNA from 1 species